rnacentral:rRNA from 1 species
CUUGCACCUGGUGGCGAGUGGCGAACGGGUGAGUAAUACAUCGGAACGUACCUUAUCGUGGGGGAUAACGCAGCGAAAGCUGUGCUAAUACCGCAUACGCCCUGAGGGGGAAAGCGGGGGAUCGAAAGGCCUCGCGCGAUUAGAGCGGCCGAUGCCUGAUUAGCUUGUUGGUGGGGUAAAAGCCCACCAAGGCGACGAUCAGUAGCUGGUCUGAGAGGACGAUCAGCCACACUGGGACUGAGACACGGCCCAGACUCCUACGGGAGGCAGCAGUGGGGAAUUUUGGACAAUGGGGGAAACCCUGAUCCAGCAAUGCCGCGUGAGUGAAGAAGGCCUUCGGGUUGUAAAGCUCUUUUGUCAGGGAAGAAACACCGGCUCUAACACAGUCCGGGAAUGACGGUACCUGAAGAAUAAGCACCGGCUAACUACGUGCCAGCAGCCGCGGUAAUACGUAGGGUGCGAGCGUUAAUCGGAAUUACUGGGCGUAAAGCGUGCGCAGGCGGUUAUACAAGACAGGCGUGAAAUCCCCGGGCUUAACCUGGGAAUGGCGCCUGUGACUGUAUAGCUAGAGUGUGUCAGAGGGGGGUAGAAUUCCACGUGUAGCAGUGAAAUGCGUAGAUAUGUGGAGGAAUACCAAUGGCGAAGGCAGCCCCCUGGGAUAACACUGACGCUCAUGCACGAAAGCGUGGGGAGCAAACAG